GCAAGUCGAGCGAGACCUUCGGGUCUAGCGGCGGACGGGUUAGUAACGCGUGGGAACGUGCCCUUCACUACGGAAUAGUCCUGGGAAACUGGGUUUAAUACCGUAUACGCCCUUCGGGGGAAAGAAUUUCGGUGAAGGAUCGGCCCGCGUUGGAUUAGGUAGUUGGUGCGGUAACGGCGCACCAAGCCGACGAUCCAUAGCUGGUUUGAGAGGAUGAUC
rnacentral:rRNA from 1 species